rnacentral:rRNA from 1 species
GCCUGUUUAACAAAAACAUCGCUUUAUGGGGCUUAUAUAAGGUUUGGCCUGCCCACUGUAAUUGAAGGGUCGCAGUAUAUUGACUGUGCAAAGGUAGCAUAAUCAUUAGUCUUUUAAUUGGGGGCUGGUAUGAAGGGUUGGAUGAAGUAAAAGCUGUCUCUAGUGGGGGAUGAAGAAAUUAGCUUUUUAGUCAAAAGGCUAAGAUAUAAUUAGAGGACGAGAAGACCCUAUAGAUCUUUAUAAAACUAUAUAAAAUUAUAAGAUGAGGUAGAAUUUUAUAAAAUUUUUAUUUGGUUGGGGUGACAAGGAAAUAAUAUAACUUUCUUAUGUAGAACACUGAUUAGUGAUUAGGGGUUCCAUAAUUUAUGAUUAGAAGAGUAAGUUACCUUAGGGAUAACAGCAUAAUCUUCUUAGAGAGUUCUAAUCGAUAAGGGGGGUUGUGACCUCGAUGUUGGAUUAAGAUUUAGCUUGGGUGCAGUAGUUCAAGAUAAGGGUCUGUUCGACCUAUAACAUCUUACAUGAUCUGAGUUCAAACCGGAGCUCC